UACGAAGGGGGCUAGCGUUGUUCGGAUUUACUGGGCGUAAAGCGCACGUAGGCGGAUCGUUAAGUCGGGGGUGAAAUCCUGGAGCUCAGCUCCAGAACUGCCUUCGAUACUGGCGAUCUCGAGUCCGGAAGAGGUGAGUGGAACUCCUAGUGUAGAGGUGGAAUUCGUAGAUAUUAGGAGGAACACCGGUGGCGAAGGCGGGGUCUCUGGGCCGUAACUGACGCUGAGGAGCGGAAAGCGUGGGGGAGCAAACAGG
rnacentral:rRNA from 1 species